UACGAAGGGGGCUAGCGUUGUUCGGAAUUACUGGGCGUAAAGGGCUCGUAGGUGGCCAACUAAGUCAGACGUGAAAUCCCCAGGCUCAACUUGGGAACUGCGUCUGAUACUGGAUGGCUUGAAUUCGGGAGAGGGAUGCAGAAUUCCAGGUGUAGCGGUGAAAUGCGUAGAUAUCUGGAGGAAUACCGGUGGCGAAGGCGGCAUCCUGGACCGAGAUUGACACUGAUGAGCGAAAGCUAGGGGAGCAAACGGG
rnacentral:rRNA from 1 species